UGAACGACGGUUAUGUUCAUCUCGUGGAGUACAGAACAUUCAGUCUCAUCACUUGUGUUAAUACUGACUUGAGAUCUAGUCGCCACGCAUUUAAUCUUUGAGUAAAUUAAUCGGUCUUAUAUAAAAAAUAGGGACUGGACAUGUCUAUAAGAUGGAUGGCGGAAACAAGAAACGAAUAUCGAAUUUUAGUGUAUACGAUUGUUGGAAUGACAUAACUUCGAAACGACUUCGAAUGAUAUGGAGUAACACUGUUAAGUUUGAGGCCAGGAGAAAUGUUUUAAUGAAUCCGCAGAAGAGUUUUGAACCAGAAGUUCAAGAGCAGACAGCGUUCCAAGAAACAGCUUUUCGUAACGGAUUAAUGGAGAAAAUUAUAAAGCUGUAAAAACUUCUGUCUCGUGAUUUUGAGCGACGGGUUACAUAUUUCAUAAUCAGUAAGACACUUAGAUGAGUGGACUCAUCGCCCUGAUGAUACAGCCAAUGAGAACUUCUGAAACGUCGGUGAACUUUUCUACUAUACUACACGGUGCAAGAAAUCAGAGGAUACCCAUUUUCACGAAAAUUCCACUUGGGUGACUGAGAAGGAGAAUCGUCUUAUUAAAAUAGGUUGCAGAAAUCAGAGCGCAGUUGCUCAACACUGUACUUUUACAGUGUUAAAGUAGAGCCUUAGCUCCGUGUAAAGUAGUGGUUACAUUGUAAGGGUUGAGGUUUUCACGCGGUGAGUACCAGAUCAGACUACACGGCGCUACGACCCAGAACAGAGCCAUCUUAGUGGUUACAGAUACGCACCGAAAUUAAAUUAACCAGAAAAUGUUUAGUGUCCCUAAUUGUUCAGUAGUUUCGAAUAUGAACCAAGCGGUGGGAAAUAUGAACAUGGCCUCUCCAUUUUGUUCAGUUUGUGCACAAAUCACAGAAUAAAGGCCUAUGUGUUGGGAGCGAGAAAUAGUUAGGGGUGUUAGAACUAUGGUGUAAUGUAUUUGCUGUCAUGGAUGAGUAGAUAUUUUCACUACGAAAAAGGGCCAAAAGCACCAAACGUGAGGUACAAUUAUAUUGCCAUGUUGGUCUUGAGGAUAAACUUUUAAGUAGAUGCCAAAAAUUUGGAAGUUAAGUAAGUAGAAGGGAUGUGAAAUGUAGUGUAUUGGUAUUUGCAUGGAUGGGCUGAAGAAAACCCCACUAAAACGUCAUUACGAUAUUUGGUCUCCGAGCCGAGAUUUCAACCCACAAACCUCUAAAUAGGAAGAAUGCUAACCACUAGAUUUCGACUUUUCGUCUGCUAAUAACAGUAUCACUUGGCAUGUUGACAUGAUUAUGAAGUUAUGUUAUUUUUGAUGGAGUGGGGUAUUUUUAUAUAAUACUUUCGCAGCAGAAAGCACAUUGCAUGAAACUGGUAGUUAUUUUGGAAGACAGUAAUUAGCACGGACUCACAAGACCUCGCUUUGGCCGGCAUUUGCCUGUUUCUCUGUACAUUACAGCGCCAACCGUUCUAGAAGACCCCACAAACCGCAGUUUCCUGUUUUAACAAAGAAUAAUACUUCCACUAGGCACUCUCGAAAAGGAACAACAACGACCUUAAAAAUAUAGAAGCAGAACAUUUAACGAUUUUGGUCGGAGGGGCAUUUGAAAAACUGGCAUUAGGGAUAUUAGCGCCUUGAUGAAGCUCAAAAAUUACAAAGAGAGGGAUUUUUAUAUAGGAGCCCAUUCCGGGGCCAUAACGAAACUUGAUUGCAGGUGUAACAAUAGGGUUGCACCGUAAUCUUAGUGCUACUAUAAGCCAUAAAAAUUAGUUGGAAGAAAAUGCCGCGUGCGGUAAUGGCUAACUAAGGCAAGGACAUUUUUUCUUACGUCUAAAACAUUUUACAUUGAAUAGCAGAAGCUAUAAACUUAACGUUUGAGUUUCCCCUUGUUUGAGAACAUUUUAACGUAUUUUGAUAGAGGUAUUUGUAGCUAAUAUUAAGUAAGGUUUUUAGUUUGUGUUUCUUCUAGUAAAACACACUUCAGGUAGAUAGAGUUUUGCGGACUGAAAAAUGAGUCUGUCAGAAAUCCUCUUUUAGAUGUGUGUUUCAAUCUUUCUUUAAAAAGCUUUGGAGUUACUUCCAUUUAGAUUACACUUCCUCUGAUUGCGUAACUUACUGGCACUCAUAUUUUUCUCUAAAAGGAAAAUGGAAGAAAAAAGUAUGUAUAUUAUCUUCGAAGCAUUCCUGAAAGCCCUAAGUGAAAGGGAUUCUUCUCGGCUGUUUCCGUUUUGAUGGCAAAUGAGAGGAUAUAAUGUGUAGUAUGAACAUUACUUGAAUGUGUAUCUCAUUUAUUGCAGAUGAAAAUUGUUGUGCAAUUAUUCAACAGUACAGAUACAGGCGUUGUGCAGAAACACGCAGCCUACAAAAAGGCUCAGUCUGAUCCUUAGCCAUCUUCUGAAAAUCUAAUUAUAAAAAUUAAGUGCCUUUAUAAAUGUUUAUGUUCUGAGAUAUUGUGUAAGAGGGCAUUGCGAUCUUGACAUAGCUCUGGCGGUUGAUCGACGGUUUCUCGCGGCCCAGAACCGGGUUUACGCCCGGCACAGUCAAUGCAGGAUUUGGGGUGGACAGAGUGGCACUGGGACAGACUUUCUCCGAGUCCUUCGUUUCUCUCCCGUCAUUAUCAUUCUACAACUGUUCCACAUUCACUCGUGUGUCAUCUGGAAGAAGGGCAGUUGGCCCUUUAGCAGCCGCAGCUUGACAGAGGCAUGGUCUCAACAACACAAGAAAGUUUUGUAGCUGGCUGGUUGGGGCGAAUAUGCAAACAUGUGAAUUGUGUGGUAUCUAAAUGAAACACUGGGCAUUCUGCUUAAUGCGUGGGUUACAACCUUGGAAAUAUCAGCGGUACGACCUAGUGGCUAUCACUCAUUGUCCAGGUUCGGGAAGUCCCUUGUUCACAUGUCGGCUGGUGACCUGUUACCAUUUUUUGGUUUCUCCUGCCUUUCUUCGAAAUAACGAUAUAGUGCCUUAAAUUGUGUCAACACCGCUUCUUUCCACAUAUUCGUCCAUUAAUUAUACAUAAACUUUCUUCAUUCGACGCUCAUGUUUUGAGCUACUGGCAGCUUCUUGAAAUAAAUCAUAAAUAAAUGAACAUCGGAGUUUAUGGUAUCGUGUUCGAAUUAAUUAUUAAUAAUACUGAGAUUGUGUAUUAUCCUAUUAUGCCUAUUCAUAAAAUGUGUUCAGUUGGUGCGAACAAUUGAUAUCUUGCUAAUAACUGUUUUAAGAGCACAUUUUUUCCAGCAAAGUUCUCCGGACCGUGGCCAAUUGAAAAUUAUUCCACCGGCUGUCGAGUUAAAAUAAUUUUCUGCACCUGGCAUGUAGCAGUAAAUCCUGUAGUUUACGAAGCUACAGCAAUUCCCAGAGACGUAUCAUUUGCACUGCGUCUGUCUACGUAUGUACCAUAAUAAUACGCAUUAAAAUAUCCAAUAAAUUCUCAGAACUUAAUAGUAUCCGUAAUUUAUAUGAUGUGAAAAUUUUUAUGCGUUUUUAUACAAAGUGUAUGAAGUGAAUGCAUGAUGGUGAUGUGUCCUUUAUUUUCAUCUACAUGUGCUACCUUCUGUACUAUAGGCCAGAGUUAUACUAUAUUUUGCAUUGAAGGUUUACACUGAAAAUUGUGAAUGUACGAAUAAUUCAUUUUAGGUUUGUAUCGAUGAAAUAUUAACUCCACUGUCCAGUUAAGAUCAAAUUAGAAUUACUUGAUAAUCUUAGAAAAGCUUAUUGCAGAGCUAAAACAGGUCAUCAACUGUUUCUCAUCAGAUUGUAAUUUAAAUAAAUACAAGUAAAAAUAUCUUUCUCUGUUUAAUAUCUCUACAUA